UACGUAGGUGGCAAGCGUUGUCCGGAAUUAUUGGGCGUAAAGCGCGCGCAGGUGGUUUCUUAAGUCUGAUGUGAAAGCCCACGGCUCAACCGUGGAGGGUCAUUGGAAACUGGGGAACUUGAGUGCAGGAGAGAAGAGUGGAAUUCCACGUGUAGCGGUGAAAUGCGUAGAGAUGUGGAGGAACACCAGUGGCGAAGGCGACUCUCUGGACUGUGACUGACGCUGAGGCGCGAAAGCGUGGGGAGCAAACAGG
rnacentral:rRNA from 1 species